rnacentral:rRNA from 1 species
AUUGAACGCUAGCGGGAUGCUUUACACAUGCAAGUCGAACGGCAGCGCGGACUUCGGUCUGGCGGCGAGUGGCGAACGGGUGAGUAAUGUAUCGGAACGUGCCCAGUAUCGGGGGAUAACUACGCGAAAGCGUAGCUAAUACCGCAUACGCCCUACGGGGGAAAGCCGGGGAUCGUAAGACCUUGCACUAUUGGAGCGGCCGAUACCGGAUUAGCUAGUUGGCGAGGUAACGGCUCACCAAGGCGACGAUCCGUAGCUGGUUUGAGAGGACGACCAGCCACACUGGGACUGAGACACGGCCCAGACUCCUACGGGAGGCAGCAGUGGGGAAUUUUGGACAAUGGGGGCAACCCUGAUCCAGCCAUCCCGCGUGUGCGAUGAAGGCCUUCGGGUUGUAAAGCACUUUUGGCAGGAAAGAAACGUCGCGGGCUAAUACCCCGUGGAACUGACGGUACCUGCAGAAUAAGCACCGGCUAACUACGUG